rnacentral:tRNA from 2 species
UGGGCUGUAGCCAAGCGGUAAGGCAACGGACUUUGACUCCGUCAUUCGUAGGUUCAAAUCCUGCCAGCCCAGCCA